rnacentral:lncRNA from 1 species
AGCCGCUUGUAAGUGCUGAACUUGCAAACCCCAAAAAGGAGAAGGAAGGAAGAAGGAAGUUCAAGUGAACUUUUCAGGUGAAAAGGACAGGACUGUCACACUCUGGCACAGUCUUCAGGACACGGACAGGCCUUCCCACCAGGCAUAUCUCAAAGGACAAAAUGCUCAAGAAAGUGUAUCAUAAAGAAAUGGACACAUACACAAAAGUUGCUAGUUAAAUUCAUUCAUUCAUUCCAUACAUGUAGUGAGUUCCUAUGGCAAUAGGCCAGGCAUUGUGCCGUUGCCAGCGAUGAAACAUCGAUGAAAGAAACACGGCCCUGCCCUCAGGGGACUUACAGUCUGCUGGAUGUGCAUAAUGACCCAUAUGCUGCAUCUGCAUCAUAGCUGAAGAGAAUGACGCCUCCUGGCGAGAACACAUGUUUCAGGGUGAUGCCGCGACACAAGUCAUGCCUGGUCUUUCUCUAAUGAUGCCUUCCUCACGGACUUGUUGAGUCGUUUCUUUAUUCAACACACAUUACUGGAUGUCAGCUCUGUGCAGGAACCAGGGACAUAAACACGAAAAGUACAAUCUCUGGCCUUCAGGUACUCAUUGCAGGGGAGACAGACAUAUAAUUCAUUGAGAAAUUUCCUGCUCUAUCCCCAUGGUCUGUUUGGCACAUAACAGGUAUGCCUGAGAAAUAUUGGUUAAAUGGAUAAAUGUCCAUAGAAACACCAUAACGCUGUGUGGUAAGGCUGUGACAGGCAUGGGCAGCCUUUCAUUUAUCCAGUCAUUCAUUCUAAAGUAUUCGUUGAGCAUCUACUGUGGGCCAGCCUCUGUGCUAGACCACAGCGAUACAGCAGAGAACAAAGACUCCAUGGAAUCCUUGCCCUGAUGCCAUUUGGAGGAAAAUAGAUGAUAAACAAAUCAGUAAAUCAAUGCGUAACUUUAUACAAGGUAGUAUUAAGUGCUACGAAGAAAAAUAGAGCAGAUUAAGGACUCAGAGAAGAGCGGGGCUGGGGGCUGUUGGACCAGUCAGGAUACACUGAGCUUGCACUGCGGAAACAAACACUGCCGACGUCUCAGGGCCUCAGCACACUGGAAGUUUCUAUUUUGCUCUCAUGAGGUCUGUUGUGGGUGUGGACUAGGAGGCUUGAAUGCUUGGUUCCUGCUCAGUCUUCAGGACUCAGCUUAGAACUGAUUUCCUCCAAUCUUCCCUGGGGUCCCACCAUCCGAGUUAGAAGCCUCUGCCGUGUGCUUCCCCACAGUCCUGCUUAGGGUCCACCAGUUUCCAAUGCUGCCAGCUCCACAUGAGGCUUCCGGGUCCACCACAGCAGGUGAGCAGAAGACCUGAGAGGCAAGCACCCACAAUCUAGAGGGACACGUGGCACUUCUGCUCCCAGUUCAUCGGCCAGAACUAGUCGGCAUCUGCACCUAAAUUCCAGAACUCAGGGAAACGUGAUCCUUCGAGGUGUAAUUGAAGCCAAUAUUUGUGAACAUUAGUAAUGGACUAAUGUCUAAGACAGAUUUAUUUUUUGAAUGCAUGGUCAUGAAGGCCUCUCCGAGGAGGUGAUUUCUGAGUAAAGUCUGA